rnacentral:rRNA from 1 species
UAAGGUAGCGAAAUUCCUUGGCCAUUAAAUGUGGUCCUGCAUGAAUAGAGUAAUGAUGGCUCUGCUGUCUCGCGCAGUUACUCAGUGAAAUUGAAUUAGCCGUGAAGAUGCGGUUUGUAUCUAGGCAGACGGGAAGACCCUAUGCAGCUUUACUAUAGCCUGUUACUGUGUUUGUUUUAAUCAGGUGUAGAGUAAAAGGGAGUUCGAUAGAACGCACAUGAAACACCUUUACUGAUUUAAAGUGGACACUUAUCCUGUGAUUACAGGAAAAAGUGACUGGUGGGUAGUUUAACUGGGACGGUUUCCUUUAAUAUAGUAUCAAAGGACUUCAAAGGUAUGUUUACAUUAGAUGGAAACUAAUUGGCUAUGUAGAGCUAAAUGAAGUGUAAAGGCAUAAACAUGCUUGACUGUUAGACUUAUAAGUCGCGCAGGUACGCAAGUAGGACUUAGUGAUCCGG